rnacentral:lncRNA from 1 species
CCGACAAAUAUGUCGGCCUCUGGGAAUCUCUUGGCCACCAAUAGUAUGGGCAUAUGAGAAGACCGCAUCUUUUUGGUUAUUAAUAUUCAACGUUUUUUCUUCUCUUUAACUUCCGUAUUAGUGGAGCGUCCUGCAAGACAUGGGGCGAGCUAUUUUAAAGAAGUAACGUUACAAGAAAAGAAAAGCGUCCACCCCUAGCUUAACAGUUACCGUUAGUGAAGCUAGCUGCGCCUAGUAACAUAACGUCGGACGUGUUCGUGUCAGGCUAACUAGCCAAACGUUUACGUUAACGUGUUCCGUACUAGCUGGCCGCUGGGUUAGCGAGCCACCACAGCGAAACCCGCACAGCUUUCUGGCACCGCUGAAUGAGUUGUACGGACACUAAUGGGCGUAACGUUAAGGAGCUGUCCCUGCUGCUGCUGAUUAUCCCGAGAAGAAACAGCAGAACUAGGACUGGCACGUCCGAUUCCCCUUUUGUGGACCCAGGAGGAGCGCAACACCCCUUAUCACAGGUGCAUCUUGACCAACCAUCGGACUGGAUUCACUUCUUUUUCUGACCCAGGACUAACUGUUGAGGUUGAUAUUCAACACAGCCACCUCUGUGUUUUAUCCAUAUAUACGAAGCGAUCCAAAUGAUCAACCCAGGAGGCCGCUGAUCAGCACUGAAUUCUGCUUUCGAGGUUGGAGAAGGAUACUUCAAACCUGAAACACCUCAAGUUACCAAUGGCCCCAGAAAUCUAUGGCUUCCACUCUUAAAAGCCACCAUUUUUCACAUUUUUGUUGAGGUCCUUUUUAGGACGUUGCUGUGAAGAGGCUGUAUCCUCCAAGAGAUUGCUGUGGGAGGGUUUUAUCCAAGCUUCAGAGGUCUCUACUGGGGAAGGAAGCAGAGGAAAGACCCUGGAAGUCCCUUGAGAAGAGGGCACACUUGAAAACGGACCGUAGCUGGAAAGCUGACGGUUACAUAACUAACAGGCACAGCCGUCCACUAACACAGUGGAACAAGAAAACUGGGGGGGCUGAGUUGUUCGAUGUUGCCAGUGCUGGCUGAUGUAAGAGAUAAUACCGUCUUUUUCAAACAUUUAAUUUACAUGGAUACCAAUGGAUUUUCUACUGGAUUUCUCCCCAGAUGUUUUGGAAAGAACCACAACAUCACCUCCUGCCUUUUGUCUUCCAAUCACAUCCCUCGUGCAGCCAGCAGGUGAGGUGGUUUGAAUUGGCCACCGGCAGGGUUUAGGGAUGCCCCGACACAGGAAAACCAGGCUACUCUACUGGCCCGUUUACAGACUGCCUUUUCUAACAAGAGUCCUGGACUGAAAGCAAAUUGUCUCCUUCUCUAACACAGAGCAAGAGCAUUUUCUAACAUUGCUUGAGCUGCCCCAACUGCUUAUAUCUGGGUGCUAAAAACUUUCAAUUGAUGUGAUCUCCACACAUUUUGCUAGCACAGACUUAGCAACAAACAAGCCUGUUUCACAUUUUAGGUCUUGGCCUGCACUUUUUCUAAGCUGAGGAAAGUCGUCAUCCCAUCCUUUUUUUUUUUGCUUCUUUUCUUUCCGUUCCAUUUGUCUUUCAGCUUCAUUUCAUUUCAUUUCUUCCGGUUCCUACCAAACCAGGCCUACCUCUGCCAACUCUUGUACCUCACUCAGCUCUCAUACAUAUACACACCAGUCAAGUCCAACUGGACGAGUUCACAUCGGGCGCUCAGUUCACCUUCGGUUCUCUGUUUGUCAGGAUUGGAAUGGACUUCCACAGCACCAAAUAAUUUGUGUGUUUUAAUGGAAUGGUCCACAUAAUGUUUUUAUGUCUCAAUAACAGCCAUGUUUUGUAAAUUGCACAAUUAUCAUGUGUUUCACUAAGCCUUCAUUCACCUUGCUAUACAUUAAGCAGAUGUCCUUUUUUUAGACACAUUUUACUUGUGUGGAAACGGACCAGGAGGAAGUAUCUGUUUCUAUAGGCUUGUAUUAGUAAUUGAUUGGCAUUUUGGGUAGAACAGAGGGAAACUAGUGUUGUGUAUUUACCUGCAACUCUUUAAGGGAACUCUGUCCAGACACCCCCUCCUCUUAACAAUCCGUGGCUUAUUUCUUCACCCGACCUUCCCACCUGUUUUCUGGCUAACAGGAAAAAAAAGGCUUUUCCAGCAGAGCGACUUGUAGGCUUAUUUUAAUCUCACACACACACACAGUCACACACAGUAGAUCAGGAUUGACCUAAGAACCUAAGACAACAAGCGAUUGCUGCACCCCCUUCUCCGUGUGGUGAAGAGUGUUUCCCACUAGUCAACGUGAAAGAGAAAGCCCCUCUCAUUUAUCCCUCCAUCUGUCCUUUUACAUAUAUGUUUUUCAUUUCUACACCCAAACUACAAAUCCACACAAUAGACCAGACCAAAAGGUACAUUUGAACUCUUUAUAAAUCCCACGGCAUAGCAGCUGCGGAACAGACCCACCC